rnacentral:rRNA from 1 species
CGCGUAGGCGGCCUGUUAAGUCGAACGUGAAAUCCCCGGGCUCAACCCGGGAACUGCGUCCGAUACUGGCAGGCUUGAAUCCGGGAGAGGGAUGUGGAAUUCCAGGUGUAGCGGUGAAAUGCGUAGAUAUCUGGAGGAACACCGGUGGCGAAGGCGGCAUCCUGGACCGGUAUUGACGCUGAGGCGCGAAAGCCAGGGGAAGCAAACG